UGCAGUCGAGCGGAACGAGUUAUCUGAACCUUCGGGGAACGAUAACGGCGUCGAGCGGCGGACGGGUGAGUAAUGCCUGGGAAAUUGCCCUGAUGUGGGGGAUAACCAUUGGAAACGAUGGCUAAUACCGCAUAAUAGCUUCGGCUCAAAGAGGGGGACCUUCGGGCCUCUCGCGUCAGGAUAUGCCCAGGUGGGAUUAGCUAGUUGGUGAGGUAAGGGCUCACCAAGGCGACGAUCCCUAGCUGGUCUGAGAGGAUGAUCAGCCACACUGGAACUGAGACACGGUCCAGACUCCUACGGGAGGCAGCAGUGGGGAAUAUUGCACAAUGGGCGCAAGCCUGAUGCAGCCAUGCCGCGUGUAUGAAGAAGGCCUUCGGGUUGUAAAGUACUUUCAGCAGUGAGGAAGGUGGUGUACUUAAUACGUGCAUCAUUUGACGUUAGCUGCAGAAGAAGCACCGGCUAACUCCGUGCCAGCAGCCGCGGUAAUACGGAGGGUGCGAGCGUUAAUCGGAAUUACUGGGCGUAAAGCGCAUGCAGGUGGUUUGUUAAGUCAGAUGUGAAAGCCCGGGGCUCAACCUCGGAAUUGCAUUUGAAACUGGCAGACUAGAGUACUGUAGAGGGGGGUAGAAUUUCACGUGUAGCGGUGAAAUGCGUAGAGAUCUGAAGGAAUACCGGUGGCGAAGGCGGCCCCCUGGACAGAUACUGACACUCAGAUGCGAAAGCGUGGGGAGCAAACAGGAUUAGAUACC
rnacentral:rRNA from 1 species